GAAUCUUUGAACGCACCUUGCGCUCCUUGGUAUUCCGAGGAGCAUGCCUGUUUGAGUGGCAUUA
rnacentral:rRNA from 1 species